UAGAUUCAGUUUUGAAUCGAC
rnacentral:piRNA from 1 species